rnacentral:lncRNA from 1 species
GUUUCUACGCAGGUAAAUCUGGUGAUGCAGUGCGACGCAAAUGGAGGUGGAAUGAACAAUCUAGAAUGUUUACCCUACGGUCCUAACACAGAGAACGAACAAAUAAAUUAUAUGGAUAAUAAUUCUAGGCCUCAAAACAACCCUUAUAGUAAUACUUAUAAUGCAGGUUGGAGGAACCAUCCCAAUUUCUCUUGGGGUGGUCAAGGAAAUCAGAAAGCAUAACCCCCUCCAGGCUUCCAACAACAACCUUACCAGCAAGAGAAAAGCUCGAACCUUGAGGAGAUGUUGACGAAGUUUAUUUCAAUGUUAGAAACGCGUUUUCAAAACACUAAAGUAGCACUUAAAAACCAACAAGCAUCACUUCAAGGACUUGAGAACCAAAUUGGCCAACCUACUAAGUUAAUUUUAGAAUGACUAUAAGGUAGUUUGCGUAGCAAUAUUGAAACUAAGCCAAGGGAACAACUUCAUGCAAUUACUGUGUGAGAUGAAGAAGGGUUAGUUGAAUCUGAAUCAGAACCGAGGCAAUAAAGUGUGAUAAGUAAUGGUAAGGUUGAGGUAAGCCAGAAUAAGAAAAAACUGGUUGGUAAAGAAUAUAAACCUCGAGUGCCAUAUCCUAACGCGAUGAAGAGAGACCACACGAAUGAACAAUUUGGUAAAUUUCUUAAACUUCCGAAAAAAUUACAUAUUAACUUACCGUUUAUUGAAGCUCUUUCGUAUAUGCCCAAUUUCGUUAAAUUUUUAAAGGAGCUUUUGGUGAACAAAAGGAAGUUAAAUGAUUCGUCAACUAUGGAGCUAAAUGUAGUUUGCUUAGCCAUACUACAAAAUAAACUACCCAACAAAUUGAAAGAUCUAGGGAGUUUUACUAUUCCUUAUUUAGUUGGUAGUUUGAAUGUUAAUAAUGCUUUGGCUUAUUUAAGGGCUAGUAUUAAUGUCAUGCUUUAUAAAAUGUUUAAGUAAUUAGGUCUUGCAAAACCAAAACAAACUAGGAUGAAUAUUCAAUUAGUAGAUAGAACCAUUAGAUUUCCUAGAGGUGUUAUUGAAUACGUAUUUGUAACAAUUGAUAAAUUCAUAUUCCUAGUUGAUUUUGUUGUUUUAGACAUGGAUGAGGAUAGUGAUGUACCUCUGAUUCUAGGUCGACCCUUUUUAGCAACUGUUAGGACUAUUAUUGAUGUUGGUACAGGUGAAUUAAUACUCCAAGCUCAUGAUUCUAUUAAGACAUCUAGUGAUCGAGAUAAUUUUACAAGUUUUGCUAAUAUGAGUAACCAUGUGGCUCAACCUUCUUUGCAGGAAACCUCUGAGAAAAACGCAAUGGAGCCAUGUUCCAGUAAAUACGAUAAAACGACUCAUGAAGAAUGAAUGUUAUGAAUCGAUGAACUAGAUAAAUGGCGAAUACAAGUCAAUGAGAAACUGAAAAAGCACGAUGAAGAGCCAAAGCGACGCCAUGAUGAGCAUGUGGAUGGAACGAAACAAUUUAAGGUUAAGGACAAGGUACUGCUAGAUAGAACGGAUCCUCAAAUUGCCACUUUGGAGCUUGAGGCAAACGGAUCAAAUCCCUUUACGGUACUGAAUGUCUUUUCAUACGGUACAGUCGAGUUAACUCAUUUUGAAUUAGACACAUUUAAGGUAAAUAGUACCCAACUUAAAACUUAUUUUGAUAAUAGAAUUGAUAAUGAGAAAGAGGAGUUUUGACUCUGCGAACUACCGUGGUUGUGCGAAUACGAGGAAAGUUAAGCUUAGACUCUAAAUAAGCACUUAUCGGGAGGCAACCCGAGUGUUAAAACUGCUAAUUUUUUAUUUUUAUUUCAGUUUAUUUUUUAAAAUUAAUUAAUUUUCAAAAAAAAUGUUUUUGACCCACACAGCUUGGACACAUGGGUGUGUCCUAGGCCGUGUGUACUAUAAGGGGUUUGAAAGUAAGUUACACGGCCUGGCAACAUGGCCGUGUGACCCACACGGUCUAGACACACGGGCGUGUCCUUGGCCGUGUAGACUUUUAGACUUAAUUUUUUUCAAAAAAUUGAAAGAUUACAGGACCUAAAAUAGUCCACACGGCUGUGUGAAAUCUGAAACUAUUUUUUUAAAAUGUUAAAUCAAGUUAGAAAGUUACACGUGCAAGACAUGUGGCUUUGUGCGAGACACAGUCGUAUGCCACACGGCCUAGACACACGGGCGUAUCCAAGGCCAUGUAAAGAUUAGACCUAUAUUUUUAAAAAGCACACUGGCGCGUGACAUGGCCGUGUGGCCCAACACGGACCCUUACACGACCGUGCCCCCUUUUUAACUCCCAAACCUUAAAUUUAUUAUUUUAUUUUCAUCUUUCCAAAACCCCUUAACCCUAGCUGCCGCCAACCAACUCUCUUCUACCUCUCCGGCCAUCAUCAUUCCUCCCAUUGUUCACGCCUCUCCUCUUUCCCACCACCCCCAUACCCAUACCCAUACCCAUACCCAUACCCUCUCCCACUUUUCUCCUUUCCUUCUCCCUUCCUCACCUCGUUGAGCGUCCACGCCCAAAGGCCUCACUCUUCCCCUCACCUCGCCGAACCCUUUCCCUCUCCUUCACCCUCGUCACACAGUCUACACCCACCGACCACACCCUCCUCGUCCCCCUCGCAUCCCUCUUUCUCGUCUUUCCACCAAGCCGCAACCCCAUUACCACUUUUAUCCCACCCCUGUGUCGUAACCUCCACCUUUCCCCUAGCCUUGUCGUACACCACCAUGCCUGCGAUGACCACCAUCGCGCAACUUCGGCCACCGUCCAUUGCUCCAUCGAUUUGUACCCUCUUUAUUAUUAUUAGUAUUAUUAUUAUUUAUUUUAUUUCUUGUUUUAUUAUUUUAUUAUUUUAUUUUCUUUACUGAUUAUUUUUUUAUUUAUUAUCUUUUACUAUUAUUAUUAUUAGUCAUUUUAGUUUUCUUUUCUAGUUCUACUUGUUUACUACUCUUCUUUUAAUUUUUAUUAAAUCGUUAAUUACUUAUUAUUUAUGUCACUGUCUUAGAUUAUUAUGAUAGUUAUUGUUCUUCCUUGGUUUAUUAUAUUGAGUUAUUUUCUCACUUAUUCUCUUAAUAUUAUUAUUGUUCUUAGUAUCCGAAUUCGGUAUUUAUCCUUUCUAUUCUUCUCAUUAUUAUGUGAUCUUAUUUUUAUUAUUACUGGUAUUUCAUUAUUUUAAUUGUCGUUUUAGAUUUCCAUUUUGUUUCAUGUUUUUAUUCAUUAUUAUUUUUUCAUAAUUGAUUUUAAUAAAUAGUGUUUUAGGAGUCGAUUAUCUAUUUUCGACUGUUUGGAUGUUAAUGCCCGUCUUAGGAUAAUUCUUAGUGUCGUAUUUUAAUUUACACGACCGUUUCUCAACCUCUUUGUUUGUUUGGUGAUGUAUUUUAUUUUCAGAUAGUGCAUUAUUUUAUUUCAAGCACACCAUGAUGAACACUCGCAGCAAGUCCAAGGUUAUCGUCCCCACUUUGAAAAAGCGGAAGAUCCCUAGCACGACCUACUCCUCGAGCGCUUCCACCGAGACCCGCAAUUCCUAUAUUACAUUUUUUGAGGGUCCCUAGGAGAUUUGUAUCAGCUACUUCGACUAUGACCACUCAGCUUAGGCCGAUGUAUUGAUGGGACUGUUUUGGAGCAUGUCUACUUAGUUGAUCAUGUUUGAGCCUUUAUUACUACAGCCCCGUGGGACCGGUUUUUCUCCAUCAUUGACCCCACAUGUAUGGAGCUAAUGAUCGCGUGAUUCAUAACAAGCAAUAAAUAUUUAUAAUGAAGAUCAAACCUAGACUAACUAUUAUCACAACGAAAAGGCAAGCGCACCUAUCAAAUAAUAGUAUAGUAAUGGCAAGACCGGGAUAUCGUACCCAAGGGAACCAAAAGUACUAGUAAUAACUAUCUUUUUAUUAUUUAACCUAGAAAUAAAGAGGGGUUGUUUAUUAAACUAAUUAACUAACUAAAAUAAAGCAAAGAGAAAAUUUGAAAAAAGACUUGAAGAACAGUAAUUGAUAAAGACGACACCCAAGGAGGAAUCCACCUAGAUUUCACUUGUUAUUUGACUCUGAACCAGACGAUUUAUUCACUUGACUUGAUCCGUGAGACUCCCUAACCUAUAUUAUUAUCUCUUUCGAGACUAAUAACACCUAACCCUCAGUUGAAUUAAUCGAAAUUUCUUUCUUAAUUAAAACCCCUAGGUAAGCAGUAAAUCGAUCUAUGGACUCCCAUAUUAGGUUUCACCAUAAUCCAAAAAAAUCUCAUAACCCUAUUUCUAGGCGUUCGAUCAACUCCUCUUAAUUAUGUCAAAUCUACUAUUAGACAGAGACUUUUGCUCCUCUGCAUAAGCACAUCAAAUCAUGAAUUAAUACCCGGAAUAUUAACUCAAGCAUUAAAACACAUAAUUAAGAACAAAUCAAGUAUUUAUCAUACAGUUCAGAUAAUAAUAACAAGAUCCAUCAUAGGUUUCAACCUCCUUAGGUAUUUAAGGGGUUUAGUUCAUAAUAAAAUAAGAGUAUAUCUCAAAAGUAUGAAAAUAACAAAACAUAAAGAAAACUCUAAAACCCCUGAAGGAAUUCUUAGAGAGAUCUUCAGUCUUGGAGUAGCUCCGGCUUUUGGGAUGGAUCGUUUGGCUUUCUUUAAGUAAUUCUCGGCGUGCGGUUUUGUACUCCAAAAAAUUUCUGGAGAAAGCGACCCCUCUCUAAGUCAUACUUAGGGUGUUUAUAUAGGCUUUGGAUUGGCUUUCUUCCUCCUUAAGUAUCCUUUUCCGUGUAAAAUACAACUAUUUGAAAAAGGGACACACCCGUAUGCCACGGCCGUGUGACGUGAUUGCCAAGCUGUGUUCGAUCCGUUAAAUUGUACACGGUCGUGUGGGUCAAUGGCUAGGCAGUGUGAAUCGUGAAAGCCUUGGUCAACACCCUCGAAAGACACGGGCGUGUGAGCUACCUAUGUGGCAAGGCUUAGGCCAUGUCAUCUUCUUGAUUUGGUCCAUUUUGUCUCUUUUUGGCUCGUUUUUGGCUCCUUUCACUCUCCUAUACUCUCCUAAGUGUAAAACAUGGAAUUAAAGCAUUAGGAGCAUCGAAUUUACCAAUUCUAAUGAGAAAUCAUCCAUAAAAUGCAUUAAACAUGGGGUAAAAAUAUGUAUAAAUUACGAUUUAUCAAAUACCCCCACACUUAAGCAUUUGCUUGUCCUCAAGCAAAAUCCUCAACUCAUAAUCAAAAUAAAUUCUUCUCAACUUAUAAUCUCUAUCGAUAAUAUCUCACAUUAAUCCAUAAGUAAUCAUACAUUGAGAAUUCAACUAAAAGAACAUAAAAGUUUCAAACAUUCCAAGUUGAGUAUUUAGUCAUGCAAACUUAGGUGCUUCCCUUCGUCUAAGUAAUUACCUUUGAUUCAGAAUAUCACAGAGUUUCACAUCCUCACUAAAGGUUCACUCAAAUCACUCGAGGUGUUUAAGGACAAUAAAUGAAGCACUCAAUAGUCAAUAAUGAAAAGUCAUUACCAUAGGCUUGCAUGAAAAUCAAAUCCCCACCACUAUAAUUUAAGAUGAUACAUCAAUCAAAAGGUCUUUAGAGGGUUGUAAUGAGGCUUAGUUAGGGGGUGUGGUCACAACUGAAAGAAAGGGUUAGAAUCGAUGUUAAACAUUAGAUGAUAAUCAAUGUGUCAAUAUUUGCUUACGUUUUGUUUUGCAUACAAAAAUUGUUAAGGACAUAUGCAAAUGAUAUUAAUGUAUAAUGGAAGUUUUAAAAAUUACAAACAUAAAUUGACGAAUAUACUACACUUAAGGCACUAGAUCCUAAUAAUUCCCCAAAUUUGCUCCCUUCCAAUAUGCAAAUAUUUUUCAUGAUACUUAUCAGUGUUCUUUAUAUCUUCUAAAAUUUUUUGGUCCAUCCUAAACUAAUGAAAUACCCAAUCACACCGAUGCCACUUAAUGUAAGAGAAGCGUAUAAAUAUGUACAUGUUAAAAACAUCAUUAUGAACAUGUGUGUUUAUUGGUAGUAUGAUAAUAAUCUCUUCCACCUGGUAUGACAUCCAUACAAACUGCAAAAUUAAUAAAAUAAUUGCAUUUUAAUUCAAUUGUGAUAUUGAUUAUAUCAUUAUAAUACACAAUUUAUCGAAUUAUUUGAUUCAACAUCAAUAGAUGCUACUAUAUUAUCCUUCUAGUAAGUUGUAUGAUCAUAAUGCUUGGACCACUUGUUAAAAUAUCAAAUAUUAGUACCAAUAUAAAAUUGUUUAGAAUGUAAUAUAUUUUAUAACAUAGGCUUUUGAUUUUAUCAUAUUGCAAGAGGGAAUAUGAGAUUAUUAGAAGGGAUAAACACUAUCCAUGGAAGUCGAUACCGUUACACAAUUGUGAAAUCAUAAGACAACCAUUUCUUUCAUUAUUCUCCACUUUGCAUGCCUUACAUAGCAUUUUUGUAUAGGUAAGCCAAAAACAUAAAACUCUAAUUGUAUGGUCUAGCUGUAUGCUUCAAAAUUAGAUAACAAUUAGAAAUACACGAAUGAACUAAGUUGCUAAACUUUUCAUGGAUUGGCACACCUCCAAUCAACUGAAGAAUAUAAGCUCUAGCAUGAUGUUGGAUAUCUUUGAGUGUUGUUUAUUUAAGAGAUGCACAAAGCGACUCUUCAACUAUGUUAACUUAAUUUGCAAUCAGACUUAUGGUUUAUACAUGUUCCCAACAUUGAACAAGGACCUCCACCAGAUUGUACUAAAAUAUUCUCAUUAUCGGAUGCCUAUCCACUAGAAGACUCGUUAGUAACGCUAAAUAUUUAGUGUUAUUAUUGGUUCAUUGCAUGGAGAUGAAACAUAUGGGUCUCAGGUCUUUAUCAUUCAAUUAAAUAAAAAAAAGAAUGUUAGCACAAAAGUAAAAUUAUUAAUUUGAUGUGAUAAAAAUCAUCUUUUAAGUGAAGAAUGAUUUUGUCAUCUAAUGCAUUCAUCUCUACAUUACUAGGACAACAAACCACUAGAAAACACUCUAUUGUUAUAGCAUUUUAAGUAACAUAUCCUUCUUUUGAUCUCAAUAAGGGGGCAAUCAUUAUAGUAUGCUUCAAAAUUCAAAGUUACAAAUCUUGGGUAUAUAAGAUAGUAUAAAAUAUAGAUAGAGAAUAUUUUAGGUUUCUAUGAAAAUCAAACAAGUGGAAUGAAUUGUUUAUAGAUUUUAAUAUUAGAGCUUUUACUAUGACCUCGAUAGCCAUUUAUGACGAGGUCUUGUUAAAUUUAUAAUUUUUUUAGGGUAAACUACACUAUUAGUCAAUAAACUAUGAGUAAGUUUUUCGUUUUGGUCACUUAACUAAAAAAAGUUACAAUAUGGUCAUUGAAAUAUUCAGAACUUUUCAUUUAAGUCAUUGGACUGUUAAAAUCAAUACUAUAUGGCUUUCUUUAUUUGCAUUGCCUACACUAAUCGAAAGCUUUCUUUCCUCUUCUCUUUUAAGGUUCAUUUUUUUAUGAGACAACUUUGAAUGUCACGAAUCUGCAAAUCGAAAUUUAAACAACUUUUUUCUUUGAUCUCCGACACUGAUCGUUAAAUCAACUUAGACCUAAGAUAUGUUCUUCUACUCGUCGAUGGGUACUGAUCCACUGUACUAACCAUUGAAUUGCCUCUUGGAGCUUGUUGGCAAUAUUUUUUUUUAAAGAAAAACUUAGCAGCCUAAUGAUUUAAAUGAAAUCUUUCGAAUGGUCCGACAACUAAUGGUUUAAUGACCAAAAUGAAAACUUAUCCCAUAGUUCAGUGACUAAUUGUGUGGUUUAUCUAGAGGUGUUCAUGGGUUGGAUUGAGCUCAAGAUAGGCUUAAGCAUUAUAUUAACACACUUUAUACUUGCCCAAGCUUGGCCUAGCCUGAUCAUGGACAUAAAAUUUUGCCCAAGCCUACCCAUGUUGGAAUUAGUUGACCUAAGCCCAUUUAGGCCUGCCCAUAUUAUUUUUAAAAUAUUUUUUUAUUUUAUUUUAAUAUUUAAUAAUUAUAUAAUUUUUUAUUUAUUAUAGUUUUAUAUAUAGUCAUCUUAAUUUUUUUAUGUUUACAUUAUAGAAGUAUUAUAUAUUACUAUAUAUCUAAUUUUUAUGUGUUACAAAUUAGAUAAUAUAUAAAAACAGUAUAAUAUAAAACAUUACAAACUUGAAAAACGAAUCGGGUUGAGCUUAGGCUUUGAAUGUUAAGCCCGAGCAAGACCCAUAUUUUAAACUAACCUAAAUUAUUUCUUAAACUCAUUUUCGAGUCUAAUAUUUUUACCCACACUAUCCUAAAUUUCGAACAGGUCUUCAACUUUGGACAAGUUUAAGUUUACUUUUUUUUUCAACAAUUAUGAUUUAUUUUUUAAAAAUUUACAAAUACUUUAAUUUUUGUAAAUAUCAUCCUUUACAAAUAUAUAAAUGGUCACAAUUUAAAAUUUUAAAUAUAUUUAUUUUAAUACUUCUAUACCAAAUUCUUUAAAAUUUUUUUUAAGAAAACUAAACAAAUUACAAGAAAAGAUAAAAUAUGAUGCUAGAAAGAAUGCAUCUCCUGUGCUCAACCUCAUCCAACCAGUUCUGUUUUGCAUCAUCAUUGACUUUAAAUUUUAUCCGACUUUUGACUUUCACUCCAUCAGAAACCAAAAUGAAGGAGUGAGCUCAAGAAUAGUAUUAUGAGGAUGGAAACAGCAUAUAGAAACUUAAUAGUGGGAGGCUAUUUUGUUCAAAGUGAAAGACGGGCAAAUAAAAAUAAUAAAGUCGAGAAAAAAGCCAAAAUGAAAUCCGAUUUUGAAGUCCGUCGUUCUGGACAUUUCCAAGAAGAUCAAAAACAAAAUAAGAGCCUGAAAACUCUUCAGUAUUUCUCUACGGUUUCCCUCACCGUAACAACCCUGUGGCUGUUUUCUUUUCUUUAGUUUAGUUAGAUUUUGUUGAUGGGCCAAUCAGUUUCGGCGGCGAAGCUAAGGAGCCGUCCAGAUUGGAACCAUCGCCAACGGUCAAAACCGAAAUCAACGGCUCUGAUCUGUCCGAUGCAAGCUGAGGAAACUGAAGAGCUUGAACGAAGUAACACAGAUGAAUCGUCGGAUUUCAUCUCGGAUCUUCCUGACGAGUGUUUGGCUUGUAUUUUCCUGUCUCUUAGCCCCGCUGACCGAAAACGAUGCUCUCUAGUUUGCCGGCAGUGGCUUCUGAUUGAAGGACAGAGCCGUCACCGAUUAUCUCUCAACGCACAAUCAGAUCUGCAGCCUCUCAUUCCUUCUAUCUUCUCUCGUUUCGAUGCUGUUACGAAACUGGCUCUGAAAUGUGACCGUAGAUCUGUUAGCAUAGGCGACGAAGCGCUUGUUCUAAUCUCCGAGCGUUGCCGGAAUUUGACUCGCCUUAAGCUCCGAGCUUGCCGUGACUUGACCGAUGCAGGAAUGUUGGCGUUCGCUAAAAACUGCAAGGGUCUAAAGAAGCUCUCCUGUGGUUCUUGCGCUUUCGGAGCCAAAGGCAUGAACGCUGUGCUCGACAAUUGUCCAGCACUCGAGGAACUCUCCGUGAAACGACUUCGUGGCAUCACCGACGGCGCUGCAGCUGAGCCGAUUGGGCCUGGGGUGGCUGCGGCGGCGUUGAAAACAAUUUGCUUAAAAGAGCUUUAUAAUGGGCAGUGUUUUGGUCCGCUUAUUAUUGGUGCAAAGAAUCUGAAAUCUUUGAAACUUUUUAGAUGCUCUGGCGAUUGGGAUAAGCUUUUCCCACUCAUAGUGGAACGGGUCGCGGGUAUGGUAGAGAUCCAUAUGGAGCGGAUCCAAGUCAGCGAUGUCGGUCUUGCGGCUAUCUCCAACUGUUCAAAACUAGAAAUUCUUCACCUCGUUAAGACUCCCGAGUGUACAAACGCCGGACUCGGAGCUGUUGCAGAGAAAUGCAACUUGUUAAGGAAGCUUCACAUUGAUGGAUGGAAAGCAAAUCGAAUAGGUGACCAAGGAUUAAUUGCUGUUGCAAAAUCUUGCACCAAUUUACAAGAAUUAGUUCUUAUUGGUGUUAAUCCCACCAAACUGAGUUUGGAAAUGUUAGCUUCUAAUUGUCCAAAUUUAGAACGGUUAGCCUUAUGCGGUAGCGAUACAGUUGGUGAUGCAGAGAUAUCGUGUAUUGCUGUGAAAUGUAUUGCCUUAAAGAAGCUUUGUAUCAAGAAUUGCCCUGUUUCGGAUCAUGGCAUGGAAGCGCUUGCUAGUGGUUGCCCUAAUUUGGUUAAAGUGAAAGUGAAGAAAUGUAGAGGAGUUACUUCGGAAGGGGCAGAUUGGUUAAGAUCAACUCGAGGAUCACUUGUCGUUAAUUUGGAUAUCAAUUUGGAUAUAGGCGAGCAUUUAGAUGCAAGUGCCAGUGAUGGUGGGGUACAAGAUAAUGGAAUUGAAUUUCCUCCAAUGGUGGGCAGUCAAAUUGGAGCUUCUAGUAUUGCAUCGAGCAGUACAGGUCGAUCGACGUCAUUCAAGUUGUUAGGGCUUAUGAGUGGGAGGAGUUUUGUGGCUUGCACAUUAAGGAGGUUGGCAAGUAGUUCUCGGAGUUAACUCGGAAUUGCAACAACAACAAAAAGAAAAAGAGUGAAAAUAGAAAGCACUCUUGGUAUUGAACUGUUUGCAUUAUUUUUCUGUUGGUAGUUCUCCCUUUUUUGUGUAUUUAAUUCAAUUCUGUGUGCUGAUGAUUGCCUUUUGAAUUCAAUCUUCAUCUUCAACAUUUUAUAGUUCUCAAUUUGAUCUGUUGGUUUGUAGUUCCUUUAUUUAGCAAGCUCUGUCUAUGUCUUCAUUCUUCUCAAACAUAUUUGUCCUAUACUGGAAUUUAAAGAACAUCUUUCUGAUUAAUUUGUUUUAUCUCUUUAUUUGGUCCGUGUUACAAAAUACUUGCAUACCAACAUGCAUGUCCUCCAAAUGCAUACUUGUAUCCUAAAAUUCAUCUUAUUAGAUAGGAGGAGGUUUGUUUCUCCUGUUAUAUGCAAUUUAUAUAUAUAUAUAUCAAUUGAGUUUUAAAUAUUUUAAUUGUUUGUUGCUGAAUGUUUUAAACAUGAUCAAUAGUAGGGAUCAGGUGUUGGAACUGAGAACCCGGUUAGACUUUUUGAUUUGCAAUAUGCAUAUCCUUAAUGCAAAUCAAAGCCGGAUUCAAACACCAACGUCUUGAUUCUUUGGAAAAAUGAUUCUUUAAUGUUAUUUUUGGUUUGAUGUGAAAAGAUCUGAUGAAUGCGACCGCUGUAUGAAAUUAGUAAGUUCUCUGAUUUUUUUCUAAGUGAAUUACUGUUAAAAUUGCUUUGAUGUUACAAAAGCCAAUUUUUAUGAUGGUUUAUUAUGAUGCUUCUGGUUGAUCAUAUUUUGCAAUGACUUGUUGAGCUGCAAUAUGAAGUGGUUAGGAAUUGAGCAGUUUAUCGUCUUUAAAUAGAGAACAAUUUUUUUUAUUUAAUUUCUAUUACAGGGGACACAGUCACAUGUCUCAGGGUACCUCUAAACAGUUCUAAGCUAGUUAGAUUACAUUUUGUUCUCUCAAUUGAAAAAAUGGGCUAAUUAGUUCCUAUAUCUUAGAUCAAAAAGUGAAUUUAUCUUUCUUGUUAAAUGUUUCACCCAUUUGUACUAUUAAAAGUAGAUGUGGUUAACGAAAUAACUAUAAUGGCAAAUAAUGACAUAUGACAUGUUUUGUGUACCUUAUGUUGGUAAAUAUGGACUAGAUUUUAAAAGAAAAAAUGAAUAGAAUUUAUAAUAGAAGAAUCAUUUUAAUUUUUUGACCUAUGGAUUAAUUUAUUUUUUUAAUAAAAGGGAUAAAAUAUAAUCUGAUUUUUAAGUUUAGUUAUAGUAUUAUUUUUUGAAAGUGUUUUUGCAGAAAAAAUAUAUUUUUGAGAAGUUAAAAUUUUUAAUUUUUGAAAAAAAAAAGUAUUUUUAUCUAAUUUUUAGCUCGAGAGAAAUGUUUUUUCUCUAAAAAAAAGUAAUUUGUUGAAGAAUAUUUUUAUCUCAAAAAAGUGUGUAUUUUUUAGAAGUAAUACUAAAUUAGGGGGUUUUCAUUAUACAAUUACUUUUAAGUUUCUGACCAUGUUGCAUUAUACAUAAAGUUUCUGACAAUGUGUUGGCAAAUUCAGGGUUGAUCUUGUUAAGCUAAGCACGGAAUUGUUGGUUUAUAGUAAUGCUUUUAUUUUGUCAGCUUGCCUACCGCUGAAUAAUUCCAAAAUAUAGGUAGUUUUUGUUGUUGUUUGAAAUUAGAUUUUUUAUUUAAAUAACCCAAAUAAUUUAAUUAACUAUUAAAAUGAUCUUUUUUUAAUUAAACACGAAAAUGAUCUUAAAUCUAUAGUAAAAGUUGGUAGAACCAAAUUAUAUGGCGUUACCAACUUGUCACGUCAGCAGGGAACAUAAAAAAUUAAUUUUUUGGUGAAAUCAUGCAGAAUAGCACCACCUGUAUAAAUAUUAGGGAAAUACUAUAAUUUCUAGAAAAAUAGGAGAUUUCAAAACAAUUUUUCAUUUUCUGGUGGAGCUAAUUUUUUAUUAUUAACUUUAAAAAAUUUGAAAUGUAUAUUUGAAAUAUUUUAUAAUAUAUGUUUUUUAAAAUUUUAAAUAUAUAUUUUUGAAAUUAAUUUUUUAAAAAUUUUAAAUGUUAUUUAAAAAUUAAAUAUAUUUUCUAAUAAUAUGAAACAUUUAAACAUUUAAAAGAUAUGAUCUUUUAAAUUUAUUAAUUGUUUUUAAUUUUUAAUAAUAUAAAACAUUUAAAUAUUUAAAAUUUUUAAAUAAAAUUUUUAAUAAAAAUUUAAAAAUGGCUAAAUAUAUUUAAAAAUAAUAAUUUAAUAAAUUCUAUGUAAAAAUUGAUAUUUUUAAAGAUAUUUAAAUUUUUUAAAUUUUUUUAUAAAAAUUUUAUUUAAAAAUUUCAAUGUUUAAAUAUUAUUAAAAAAUAUAUUUAAUAUUUAAAAAAUAAUAUUUAAAAUUUUAAAAAAUAAUUUCAAAAAUAUAAUAUUCAAAAUUUUAAAAAAUAAUUUCAAAAAUAUAUAUUUAAAAUUUUAGAAAAUAAUAUUUAAAAUUUUAAAAAUUAUAUAUUAUAAAACAUUUAAAAUAUACAUUUUAAAUUUUUUAAAAUGAAUAACACAAAAUAAAUAAAAUAAUUAAACAAAAUAAAACAAAAAGAAAAAGAAAAAACUUAAAAAAAGAAAAAAAAUUAAAGAAAAAGAAAAAAGUUAAAAAGAAGUAAAAAAAAAUAGAAUUAGCGUGUCAGGUCUGCUGGUGCCAUUUAAAUUGGCUCCACCAGAAAAUAGAAAAUUGUUUUGAAGUCUUUUACUUUUUAAAAAAUUACAGUAUUUUUUCUAGUAUUUAUACAGGCGGCACCAUUCUACAUGACUCCACAAAAAAGUAAAUUUUUAUGCUCCCUGCUAACGUGGCAAGUUGGUGACGCCAUAUAAUUUGGCUCUAUCAACUUUUACUGUAAAUUUAGAGUCAUUUUGGUGUUUAAUUAAAAAAGUAAGUCAUUUUAGUACUUGAUUAAAUUAUUUGGUUUAUUUUGAUAAAAAAACAGUUUGAAAUUGGAUUCAGGACAGUGAAUGAUUUUGAAUUGGAGCCUUCCUACCCCUGCUUUCUGCCUUGGUGCUCAAAGUCUCAUAUUGGAUUAAUUAUAUUCCCGCCUAAGAAAUACAAAAUUUGAAACUUGUCAGAAAUUAAUGACGUUGCUUUUGAAACCAUCACAUUCGUAAAGUGAAUGUGAGUGCUAAUUUUUGACACAUCUUGACAUUGUGAUAUAUUUUAAUGUUUAUAAUGAUAUAUAGUACAUAAACAUUGCCAUUUGAAUGAAUUGGAGAUUGCUUCCACAUCCACAAUAUAUUUGUCAAGGUGUCUCAAUCCAUGACCUAAUAAAGAUGCUUGCUUAUCCUGUUCUUUACCAACUAAGCAUGUUUUUUUUCCUUAAUUUGGGCCGAUUACUCCAUUUACUAUUUAAUAAUAAAAAUAUUUAAUCUAUAUUACAUUCAAAAUCUUUGGCAAGUGAAUAGCAAUUUAGUAGAGGGAAAAAGAACUAGAAUUUUGAAAGUAACAAAAUUUAUUUACUCUUUGUAGGAAAAUUAAAUAAUUUAAACAACAAGUUUUUUAUUUGAAUAAUAUAAUUAUAUAAUACUAAAAUAAUGCAAAUAUGCUAACACAUAAUAGGUGUUGAGUUCCUUAUGGUUGCUCAACAAUUAUCAUAAAAUUAGUUGUGUAAUCAUUUGUUGUUCAACAUCGUUAUAAAUUUUAACAUAUGUGAUUAUCAAAAUCAUGUUAUUUUAAAUUAUUCAAUCCAACUUGACACUUGACUUUUUAGGACUGUACUUUGUUAUUAUUGAUAGAUUUGAUUUGAUAUAUUAGAAACUCAACACCAUUAGGCCUUUUUGCGAUACAUCAAACUCGACAUCUAUGAGUGUUAAGGUCAUGCUAUCUUAAGUUGUUCAAUCCCCUUCCCUUCUUAUAAAUUCUGCAAAACCAAUAAUCAUUAUUCAUUCCAAAAUUCUUUCAAAAUCCUCUCUAACAUCUACAUACCCUAAACCAUUCGAAUUACUUUCAAAAUGCGCUACAAGUCAUUUUAUCAUGUAAUUGUUUUUUCUCCAUAAUUCAUGAAUUAGUGUAACGAAAGUUUUCAUAAAUGAUUUUGGCAAAUAUUAGAUUAUUAUUGCAUUUACCAAUUUCUGAUAGUAAAUUUUUAAGUGUUUUCUAGCCAAUGUUAUGCUAUUAUUGUUGUUACUAAUUAUUGAAUAUGUUAUAUAUAUGCUAUAAGUUAUGCGAUUGUUUUUGCUUACUAUUGUAGUAAGUUACAAUUAAUUUUAUUGGAUUAUUUGUUAUCAAGAAUUGUUGAGGUUGUUAGCCUUAUUUGUAAUGUUCAAAAUUUAAUAUUUGACAACCUCAAAGAAAAAGAUGGUAGAUUAACUCAUGGCCCAAAUCCAUUUGAAGGGAUUUAUUAUUUUCAUUGAGGAAAGAGUUGUAUUUCAAUAUGAAGCUUGACAUUUAGGAAUGAUGUUACCUCAGAGUACAUGAAAUGGAGGAUUCUUAGGAAAAUUCAAGCAAGAGGUACUAAGUGGAUAUCCAAUUGAAAUAUAAAUUCAUGAGGUCUAGUAGAAUGGGUGUAAGUGUUAUAACACCAUAAAAGUGAUGAUGUUGCCAUGGAGCUAUUAGUGCAGUUCUAAUAUGUUUUUUUAUACUAGUUAUGGCAUUUUGAAUUAUGUAAGCUCAUUGACUAUCUUGGUGCCGACAUAUUAUUUUAAGAUUCUAUUAAUGUCAGAUACUACUGGUAUCUUUCCCGAGUACUAUACCCAAGAGUCUAUGAUGCCAUAUAUCCAUGAGUUGCAUGAACAAACGAUGGUUGUUCCAUUGUUGGGAGGAUUUGAAUUGGUCAAAGCAAAUUAUCUACAUCUUUUGGUACGUAACAAUCUCGAAUAAUUUGAGUAAAAAAUGAUGCACAACUAUCUUUUUUUAAGGCAUUCCGGAAACCAAAGCAUCAUGAUAAUGAUUUUGGUGAGCUCACUUAUAAUAGCCCGAUUUUCAGUGGUGCUGGAAAAAGUGAUUUCAAAACUUUAUUUACGGAGUUGGUAUAUUAGUAUAUUAAAGUUUAGUUUGGUAAUUUUGUUAAAUUCAUUGUUAAUUUAGGUGCAAUGACUAAAUUCUAAAAGUUCAAUCGUUAUAGGUUUUUAAUUGACUAAAGGCUUAAGGACUUAAAUUACAAUUAGCCAAAGGUCCAAAAUGAUAAUUAAACCAUUUUUCAUUAUGAAUUGGUGGAUGAUGUUGAGAGAUUCCAUUUUUUUAAUUAGUGGUUGAUUAAGUUAGUUAAAACAUAAUUAGUUUAAUUAAAUUAAGUUAAUUAACUUUUAAACAUGGUAUAAAAGAAAAAUAAGUGGUGUUUUGUCAUCACUUCCAUCUUCCUUACCGUUCGUAGUAGAAAAACCUAAAGAAAAACCAUUUUUGAAGCUCAAGCUAUUCGAUCCCUAAUUGACAAGAAUUGGAUCAAACCAAAGGUAAUUGAGGAAAAUCUAAAAUUGUCAAUUAGUCCUUGAAGAUUCAACUUGUUUGGUGUUUUGACUAGGUAUGGAACUUACUAUUCUAUUUUAAUUAUAUAUGAAUUACACUUGAAUUAAUAUUUAUAUAUAAUUGUAAGAAUUGAGUAGAAUUAGAGAAUUGCACAUGUAAUGACUCAAAAUUUAUGGGUAUUGGAAAUCGUGUUUCUGGCUUACUAUUUUCGUAAAUCGGGUUCAUAAAUAUUUAUUAGAAAUAUUUACGAAUGUUAGUUGAGUGAUUAAUUAGAUUUUGGCUAGGUGAAUUAGAAUGAAUUAACGUUAAUUUAGUGUAAGGACUAGAUUGAAUAAACUGUGAAAGUUAAAUUAUAGAAUAAAGAAAAGUGAAGGGACUAAAUUAGUAAUUAGACCCUAAGUGACAAGUGUGUGGUAAUAGUGAAUUACAUAUGGAAUAAUUAUAAAACAUAUAUUAGUAAUUAUUAUAUUUUACUUAUAAUUUAAGUAAGUGAUAUUUUAUUUUAAUUAUAUUAUUAUUAUAUUAUAUUUAUUAUAUUAGUUAUAAUAAAAGAAAUAAAAAUAAACAAAAUAAAGAACAAGAACAGAGAAAGAAACAAAAAAGAGAGAAAGAAAGAAGGAAAUAAAAAGAAAAGGGAAAAUUAGGGUUUUGAAGUUUGAAGCUUAAUUGGUAAGUCAAUUAGUCCUUUUUCUUGUAAUUUUAAUGUUUUUAGAAUCCAAGAGACAAAUAUUACUUGUUGUAAGUGGAAAUUUUGAAAGUUAGAUGAUUAUAGAUGUGGGUUACGUUGAAAUAAUUGAAGAAUUAGGGAUUUAAUUGAAUGAAUUUCAAGUUAGAAUUGAUUAAUGGAUUAAAUUGUAAAAUAAGCUAUAAGUUUUGUGUUUGAGAGACUAAAUUGAAAGAAACUUGAGAUUAGGGUUUUACCAUGAACAUUUGAUGGUUAGGGUGAAAAUGAUAGAAAAUUGAAUAGAAAUAAAGUAUGAAUUGAGUGAUAAAAGUAAAAGAGUUAAUUAGGAUUAAAUUGAAAUGAAAGUUUGAAUUAAACAGAAAUUCAAUUAUUUAUUGUAAAUUAAUAUUGUAUUAAUAGUGUAAAUUAUUAAAUUUCCGUGGCUAACAUAGUACCGGAGACAUCGACAAAGAAAGGAAAAGAGAAGAUUGACGAAGAGUAACCCGAGAAUUACAAUUUGUAUUUCUAUAAACUGAACUUAAUAAUUAACUAUUGCUUUUUAUUAUUUAAUGUGUAUGGUAAGUGAAAUUGAGGUGAAUUUGAUAUAUUGCCACUGAAUUGAAUUAUUUUGUGAAAGUAUGUGUAUGAUUGAAAAGUGUAUUGAAUUGGAAUAAAUUGAAAUUGUAUAUUGAUUGGAAAUUGAAUUAUGUAUUGAAAUACCCUAUUAACAAUGUCGGGCUAAGUCGGAUAUAGUUGACAUGCCAUAGGAUUGGAAGUGUACAGGGAUACUUCAACUUGAGUCGAUAGACACUAUAAGUGUCGUACUAUUACUUUGACUUUGAGUUGAUGAGGCACCUUGUGUUUCGUACUGUUAUUGUUACUUCGCUUUAAUCCGAUGAGGUCUUGAGUACCGUAUUGUUACUCUUUACUUUGACAAAGCUGAUGAGGCACUGAGUGCCGUACUGGUGUGUUGCUUGGAUCCGUAUAUUCGCCAAGGUCCGAGUUAUGUUAAUAGGGGUAAACUACUGUACUGAACAACUGAAUGACUUAUUACUAUACUGGACAACUAAUUGAUAUUGAUCGAUAAUGAAUUGAAUUGAAUAUUUUUUUAAGAAUGAGUUGUGAAUGAAGCUAUUGCCAUGAGAUUUGAAAUCUUAUAGUUUAAAUGCAUUUGAGUUAAUAAUUGGUUUAAGUUUUGGUUUAUAGAAAUACCACUAAGUGCAUACUCAGCGUACGGUUUGUUUCCGUGCACAAGUUAGGUACGAAAGUGAUUAACGACUCAGUAUCCAAGUUGAUCCUGAACUCAAAUACUUGGUGAUGUACCUUAUUUUGAAAAGUGGCAUGUACCUAGGUUGUCUUUUGAAGUUACAUUAAGAUAUUAAUGUUAAUAGUGUAAAAGAUGAUAGUUGUUAAUCAAUAUAUGCAAAUUUAUGUUUUAUUUUAUGGUCUUUUACAUAGUUUAAUUUGAAUUGAUUUGGAUGGUAUUUAAAUACAAUAUUUAGAAAAUAUUUAUUAGAUACUUAUAAAUAUACAUGAGUUAGAUCAUUAUAUUAAUAGUUUUAACAUGUUUUAGAUAUAAUUAAUCAUGUUUUGGAUUGGUUGAAAGAUUGGAUUUUAAGUUGCUUGUAUUUCAAGGUUCGCAGGGUUGGUAAACUUGAAUUGUAACGCUCCAAAUUUCUUAAAUUUCGGCUUUUGUAAUUGUUGAGCAUGGAAAUAACUGAACAGUUGGGUCUGUGUUAUUUUUGGCUUUAAACGUAUUGGUUUAAGUGGUUAUGUGCUCUGGGGUGUGUUUGGGAGAUCCUAAGUUCAAGCUUUAACUUGGGCCAAAUUUUGGAAUUUUAUUUGAAAAAAGCCUGACUUUAGGUUAGUGGGCUUAUAAGGAAUUGUUGGUAAAAACCUAACAAAAUGGGCCUGUUGGUCUAGUGGUUAAGUGGCAAGGGAUUACACUUAGGGCCUGGAGUUUGAUUCUCUGCAGUAGCGUUGGGAUUAUUUUUGCUGCAAGAUUUGGCUAAGAGUUGAGCUUUAUCAGAAAUCUAAAUUGAGGUUUAGGGAUAAUUAGAGCUUAUUUCCUUAUUUUUAACAAAAGUUCUUUCUCUCUGCCAUUUUCUUUUUCCCAAAACCCAUUGCUGUAAAAAAUUCCCUUCUCUUUUUCUUUCUUCUCUUCGUUUUUCUUCUUUUUCCAGCUUAGGCGUAUUGCUAACGGUUCUAUCGUUUUAGUAAGUAUCGCUUUAUCAAGUUGCGUGAUUUUCUUUGGAGAUAGUUUAAGAGGAUUUUUAUUUUUUGUUUAGGGGAUAUUCAAGGCUCUGUAGAUCAGUAAUCGAGUUCUAAACAGCAAGGAAACACUGUUCUUUAGUGAAGGUAAGUAGAUCUCUCUUUCGGGAUUUGGUAGUUCUUAAGGAUGUCAAUUUAAGUGAUUGAUUUUGGGUUCAGUAUUGUAGAUUUUAGGCUUUGGAGUGCUCGUGGUUGGAUUAGCAGCGAAAAUGAACCAGGUGUGUACUCAAAUCGAUUCGAAAUCACGUUUCGGCAAAAGUUGAAAACGCUACUGUCGACGUCACACGGGCGUGUGGACUACCCGUGUGGAGGCCGUGUGGAGGCCGUGUGGCGAUACACAACCGUGUGUUCGAAGAGCUAGACCGUGUGCGUGUGAUGGCUUGUGAUGGCUUGUAGGCCGUGUACGAGGUACGAGAUCAGGCAAAUAGGCCGUGUGGGACACAAAGGUGUGUGGGCCCAUACGGGUGAACCACACGGGCGUGUGGGAAUCUGGGCCAGGCCAUGUGAUCCACACGGGCAAAGUCAAGUUGGGCCAUGUGAGUCACACGGGCGUGUGGGACCACACGGGCAAGGCACACGGGCAUGUGAGCCCAAUUUGUUUGAAAUGUUCUGUAAGGUUGCACGGGUGGCCUAAGUCGACUAUGACCUGACUGUAGGGCUCAUACUCUAAUUGAUUACUGAAUUGUAUGCAAAAGCAUGUUAUUAUAAGCAUGUGUAUCUGUCUGAUUCCGUAUAUCUGUUCUGCCAUGAUUUUGAUAAGAUCUGAUAUCUGCAUAUAAGCAUGUCAUUAUAUGUAUGUUGCAUUGCAUUGGGUUGGGAUUGUUGUGAAGAGAAGGAAGUUUGAGAGGCGAUUAGUCUGUUAUCUGGCAGCUACGUUGCAUAUAUCCAUUAUGUACUGUAUUAUGGUACCUUUUGGUGUGUAAGGUUGGGUUGAUUAUAUCCCUAUACCUUGUGUACGGUUAGCUGGGUCGAUUCUAUCCCUACAUGGUGUGUUGGGUUGGUCGGAGAUGGUGUGCAGGGUUGGUGGGCAUAUUUUUUGAUAUCUGAUUUGUUAUGCAUGCGAUACCUGUAUGGCUAAAGCCGAACUAUUUGUAUUCUAUUGUCUUUCUGUAUGCAUGCUGUUUGUGGGGAUGUACACACUAAGUUCGCGAAAACUCACCCCUUUGUUUAUUUGUCUAUCAGGUAAUCCUCAGCAGUAGAUGGAUCGAUGUGACGGAGGGCUCGAUGGUGACCACUGUUGGACAUUUAUGGAUUUUUGAGUAACAUUCUAUUUGUCUGCUUUAUUUUAAAUAUUAAUUUCUGGGAUUAAAAUGUUUUGAACUUGAACUAUUUCUAAGUUUAUUUCGGGAUUUUAAACUAUUAAGCUAUUGAUUAAUGAGUUAAAGAUGUUUUAACUUCCGCGAUAAUGAAAUGUGUUCACCUAAUAAUUGGUUUGGAGAUUUCACGACUUAAGUAAUGAUAAUGAGUUGAACGAUUUUUAACUUGUUAAGAUUUUCUAAAAACCCUCUCAUGUGACGCCGCCAAAUUCGAACAUAACGUUUAGGCCGGGUUGGGGUGUUACAUGAAUUAUAAGGCUCAUUUUGAGUCUACACGGCUUAGCACACGGGGUGUGACCAAACUGUGUGAGACACACGGCUUACACACGGGCAUGUAGUUAGGCCGUGUGUCACCAGCUUUUUAAAUAUUGUAAACAUAAUGCUAAGGUAUGGCCACACAGGUAGAGACACGGGUGUGUGUCUCAGCCAUGUAAGGCAUACGGCCACAGAACACGGGCAUGUGCCAUGGCCAUGUAAAAAUUGCACUAGAUUCAAAUUGAAAAUAAAUCUGCACGGGCUAAGCACACAGGCGUGUGUCUUGGCUGUGUGAAACUAAUUUGUUCAUGAGUAAUAAGUCAGAGAGUUAUACGGGUAAAGGACACGGGCGUGUCCUGGCCGUGUGAGCCACAGGGAGUGAUAACAUGGGCAUGUCUUAGGGACACACGGACGUGUCUCUUAGACCACACGGGUGUAUGGGUACUGUUCAUAAGAUAAAUUUUAGAAAUUUUACGAAAAAUUUUAUAAGCUUCUGAUCGGGUUCCGUUUUGUUUCUAACAUCUUCUUUAGGCAUCGAAGGUCCAGUAAAGGGUUAAUAAGAUAAAUUAUUGAACUGUAUAAUGAAUGUUCUUACUUUAUUCAUGUUUAAUCUGUAGUGGCAGGUAAUGCUUCGUAAUCCUGUUCCGAUGCCGGAAAAGGGUUGAGGGUGUUAUAGCACAAAUGUCUUGUAUUGGACUAAAUUGUAAAUUCGUGUAAAUAUUGGUUGUAUAAAAGUAAUACAAUGUGUUAAUAUGAUCAUUGAUUGGUUAUAUGCCUCGUAAAUGAAAAAUGAAAUAUGUACAUGAUUUGAUAUUGACAUUUAUACGGAAGUAAUGCCCAAGUACACUUAGUAAAAGAUUAAGAUACGUAUGACAUGCCAUUAGGGUUAUACACAUAUUUGAUUAGGGAUUUACAUGUUAUUACGAGAUCUAGCAUUUGUUGUAGAUACCCAAGUUAAAUGUAUCAUAGGUUUAGCUCGGUGGGUAACCUUAAUAUAAUGUCAGCUUGUGUGAGCAAUACAUUCUCAUAUAUUCAAGUUCGUUUUACUAUAGUUCUAUCGGGCAAUGAUCAAUUGACUAGAAAUGGAAUUUAAAUCAUGAAAUGAUGUUGAUGAUAUUUGACAUAUAGGUUGUUAUAUGAUUCUAUUUUUAAUGUUUUUAAUGUUAACAAUACUUAAGAUAUAUGUAUUAAUGUGCCAAGGUAAGUUAAAUUGGUUUCCAAAUAGAAUAAUUAAUUAUGUCAUAUGGCCAAGGUAUGCUUUAGUUUUGAUUUGAACUUACUAAGCAUUUUACAUGCUUACCUUUGUUUCUUUUCCCUUUUUCCUUAUAGAUAGUCACCUUAUGGAACACAUCAAGUUGGAUUGUCUCGAAAUUCACACUAUCUCCAAUUCAAUAGCUAUUUGAUCAUUUUGAGUCAAAGGUUGUGGCAUGUAUAUAAGGUGUCUUGUGGUGCAUCUUAGCAUGUAAAUGUAUUUACUUAUAGCAAGUUUUUUUUAAUCUUUACUUAUCAUGUUGAUUUGGUGAUUUGAAUCAUAUAUGUCGUUAGACAUAUAUGUAUGUUUAUGCUAAAGAAUGUGAUGAACUAUAAUCAUAUAUUUGGCAUGUGGCAUGGCAUAGAAUGAAGUUGUGAUGGUAUGUUUGGUUGGUAAGCUUGAGAUAUGUAUUAGUGAAUAGAUGAUUUGGUUCAUGUUAAGGCACAUAAGCUAUUAAAGUACAAAGUGAAUAUAUGUGUAUGAAAUUAAGGUGAUAUAGCAUGUUUCAAAAUGAAAUGACAUUAGUAAGGUUUGAUCAUUACAUGACUUGGUUGUUAGGUUAUAAUAGUAGUAAGAUGUUUUGAAUAGGUGUGAACUGUUUGAUAAGAAGUCAAAAUUGUAUGUUUGAACUCAUAUGGUAUGUUUUCAUAAAUUUUGAGACAAUUUGGAGUGAAAUAUAGGUUCAUCUUUUGAAUGGUUUGGUUGGAAACUUAGAAAUAUGUACCAAAUGGUUCAUUUUUACCAAAAACAAGGUCCUUGUCUCGAUGACCAUCUUUCUUGUCACAACAUCGGUCAACAGCAUGUGACAUCGCGGUGUCGAGUGACUUGAAGUCGUGACAUGACAAAUUGUUUGACAAUGUCACAAUGUAGAAAAGGUGAUGUCAUGACAUCGAACCCGAACUUUUAAAAACUUUGCAAUUUGGUCCUAUUUUGAGUUUAGGUUUACAAAAGAACUUUCGUAAGCUCGAUUAAGACUCAAGAUUGAUUGUUUAACAUGAUUUGAAUGUGAUUAACAAAACUUAAAUUGCAUGUGUGAAUGAUUAAUUACUGCGUGUUUGUCUGUAGUUCGGGCCUGGUGAUCAAGUCGAGUGAGGGGUGUUAUAUCACUAAAGUUGAAGCUGAAACCUAGGUUGAAGCCAAAUUCGAUAUUGAAGUUGAAUGUGGCAGUGAUCUUAAGCAGAAAGUGUUAAGAUUUGUUCUCACAGUGCAAUGAUUCAGGCACAAUUACUUGUAAGUUUUGCAAAAAAAUGAUUGAAUAAAUAAAAUUACCACAUGCUCAUUUAGUUGAUCUUUAUAUGUUUUUACUCAAUGGUUUUUGCAUGAAAAACAAAAUGUAUAAGCAAAUACAAACUUCUUAAUUACCAAAGGUUUAAAUACUAUUAAGUUGCAUUAUAUAGAUGGAUUAUACUGCAAGAAACUUAUACUGGUAGGUAAUUUAAAUUAUUUGUAGGACAUAGAAUUAGAUUGAGAAAAUGAUUCAAAUAAUAAGAGACUAUUAUGUUUUCUAUAAUUCCAAUUGGAGAGAUAGCUUGCCUUGGCUAUCAAAACAAAGUUGACUUCAAGAAAUAAAGACAUAGAUGUGAUUGUCUGAACUAAUAAUACAUUAGAUUGGAUCCAAGUUGAAUUGAUCCUAAGUUCCUUUAUAGAUUUAUUCAUUGGUGACAUUCAUAGUAUGACUUACCUUAAUAAUGAGUAAGUGAAUAAUCACGCAUACAUGACUCAUGUACUUUAUAUAUUGAAAGCAUGUCCUUUCAUAGUAGUGGGUUGAACUAUGUUUGGUACAUGAGUUAUGCAUGGCAUGACUUUACCCACAAUAGUGAGCUAUAGCUUGAAUAAAAGAGUAAAUGAUAUGCUUUCAUUGGCACUGUAUGGAUUUUGAAAAUGGGACGUGGACAUGAGUCAUUUGUCUGGACGAAUGACUAAUAAUUACUAUUUGUAAAUAAUGAUCAUUUUCAUUGUGGAAGGUACAAUGUUGACCAUAAGAUAAAAAUAGAUCGAAUUAGGUGAAUGGAUUUAACCUAAAGGGGUCAAAGAUCCCCUAUCAGGUUAACAUACAUAUGACAAAGUCAUUGGACAAAAUCUUAACAUAAAUAGCUUUCAUAAUGGUAUAUAAUGGAUAGAUUAUUCGUUGUACUUUUAGUAGAUUGAACUUGUGACUAAACAACUAUGUAAUUAAUAGACGAAGAGUCGAAACUUAAUUACAAAUCAUCUAAGUCCUAAUUAUAUAUGUCCAAUCGAUCUAUACUGUAACAAUCCAAAAUUUCGAUAUGUCAUCUGGCAUUGUUUCAAAAUUAGAUACAGUGAAAAUUCCAAGGAUAUUGGAAAAUGAAAAAUAUUGAGGAUGUGGAAUUGUUGCAAAAAAAAAGAACAAAUUGUAAAUUUUAAAAAAGUUUGAGGACUAAAGUGCAAAUUUGACCAAAAAGAGAUAGGGAUUAUUAUUGACUAUUGUAGCAUAAGAAUAAAUUAAAAUAUGUAUUGGUGCGAGAAAAAUCAUUUUUGAGACUAAAUUGAAAAGAUUGGAAAGUACAAAUAUUAAAUCAUAAAUUUUUCUUUUAUCGAGAGAAGGGUGAAAGUGUAAUUUUCACCAUCUAAUGAUUUUUAUUAAGAUUUUAAUUUUGAAUUAUGAGAUUUCAAUAUUUUACAUGUCUAUUUGUUGCAAAGAAAUUGGAGUAAGAGGCAAGAAGGGACAUAAUGAUAAUUUUACUAUGUAAGAGCAUUUUGAUCAUUUGUCAAGAAUUUUAUAUAUGAAGUAUUAUUUUGGCAUGAUGUUAUUAUAUUGUGAUAUAAUAUUAGCCAUUGGAUGUGAAUGGAAGGGAGAGAACAUGUUAAUAUAUUUUGACAUAAUGUCAUUAUAUUUUAUACAAAUGAUUGGGUUAGUGAGAACAUCAAAAAAAUACUCACAAUAUUAAGUUUGAUAAUUUGAAUUGGAUCACACUCUUUUGUAUUCUUUGCUGGAAAAUAUGGAAGCAAAGAAAUUUGCUUGUGUUUAGGAGGGACAGAUCAUUGUGGUUCGUAUAACACUCUUGCACAAGGCGUUGCUAGUUUAGGCAAAGUCAGUGUUCAACAGUAGUGUUACGAGUAGCCAACAGGCUAUUAAAACUGAAAAGCUUGUUGGAUGGUCAGCUCAUGCAUUUGGUUGGGUUAAAUUGAAUACAAAUGAAGCAUAGCUUCAACAAGGGGGUAUUGACUGAGAGACUCCUCAGGUCGAUGGCUAAUGGGUUUUAUCUAUUCUAGAGAUAAGAAAAUUUUAAUGUUUUUAUUAAAUUUUAUUUUAUUAUAUUUUCAUCCAUUCAUAUGUAAAGAUUUGUUUUUUUAUAUCAACUUAAUAUAUAUUAAUGAUUUUAAAUUCAUACUAAAAUAAGUUUUACAAUAUAUACAUUAAAUAAAUAAUUUAAAAGUAAAUUAUUUUUUAAAACCUUAUUGAUCACACAUAAAUAUUUUAUUUAAGUAAAUGUAUUCUUUUAUUCUUUCGAUCAAUAGUAUAUUUUAAUAAAGGACACAAUUCCUAUAUAUUUGUUUUUUAUUCUUUUUAAUUUCACUUUUUUUCUUUAUUCUUUUUUGUAUUUUCAUCUAUAUAAUUUUUUUUAUAUAUAUUAUGUUAUGGUUAAUAUCAAUAUAUACAUGUGUGUGCAAAUUUUUUUUUCAUUAUUUUGACUAAAAAAGUUAAUUUUCAAGCAUUUUGUGAUUGCUUAACAUAGAAUUUUUUCAUUUAUUUAUUUAAUUUAAAUUUAGUAAAUAAUUUUAAACUUUAUUAAGAUAGUAUUUUAGGAUAAUAUAUCUUAAUUUAUUUUUUUCCAUUUUUAUUUAUUAAUAGUUUUAAUAAAACAUAUGUUUCAUUUUUAUAAUUUUAUAAUCUUAAAAAGAUAACGAUUUUCAUUUAUUUAUAUUAAAUUUUUAUUUAUUAAAUUUUUAUUUUAAAUAGAUUUUAAACUUGAAUUAUUUUAAACAUUAAAAAAAAUAAUUACCAUUGAAGAGGUAAAAAAAUUAAAAUUAUAAAUAUGAGAUUAGUGUUUUACUUUAUGACAAUGAAAAUAAUUUUGCUAAUAGAUAAUUUUUUAUUAAUAUAUACAUAUAUCUAAUGAAUUUUUUAAUAAUUUGUCUUUUACACUUUGAAUAUUUUUACAACACCCUUUUAAAAUAUAAUUUUCUAAUUAUUAUUUAAAAUUUAAAUAAUUCUAAUUACUUUAAAUUUAAAUUUACUUUUAUUAUUGCAUUAAAUUUGUUUUAAAUUAUUUAUAACUCAUUCAUAAUCAUACCUAUUUCUUAUAUUUUUAUUAAACAAUAAUUUAUUAUAAAAUUUUCUAAAAUUAAAUAAUAAUUUUGUAUUUAUUUUCAUUUUAUCAUUAUUUAUAUUUAUAUUUAUUUUAAUAUUAAGUCACAUUUUAAAUAUUUUUUAUAAUAAAAUUAAAUUUAUUAAUAUUAAUAAUGUAUUUUUGUUAUACUAAAAAUUUUUAAUAGUAAUUUUAGAAUAUAAGAUAAUAUUUUAAUUUUAGUUUUAGUUUAAAUAAUUUUUUAUUAUAAUUUUAGUAAUAUAAAAAUUCUUUAUAGAAAUAUAUUAAAUAAACAACUAACACAUGCAUUAUGCGUAACAAACUAGUUAGAAUAUAAUUUAAUUAAAUUUUAAUUUGGUAAAAAUGAAGAAUAAUUUUAAAAUUGUUAUGAUUAUUAAGUGGAUGUCCAUUAAGAUCAAUAUAAGUUUUGAUGUACUUUAAAUUCUAAUAGUCAUUAGAAUUAAAUCUCUACUUCAUUUAUACUUCUUAUGCUUAUAAAUAGAGACUUUGGAGAAGCUUUGUAAAUAUUUUGAUUGAUUAAUAAAAUACACUCUCUCUUCUGCUCUCCCAUUCUCUUUGUUUUUUAUUUUCUGUCUUUUUAUUUUAUAACACCUUAUCAGCACAAUCUUGCUCAAAGUGAUAAAAACUUUUAUCGAUGAUCAAAUUUAUUCUCCAUGAUUUCCAAGAUCUUAGAAGGCAAGAUGCAAAGUUUUUGCAGGAAGUUUCUUUUAUUUAAUGUUUCAUAUUUGAUUAUUUUUAGAUAAUUUAUGAUCAAUUAUAAUUAUUUUGAUUAAAACCUUUUAUCGAUGAUCAAAUUUAUUCUCCAUGAUUUCCAAGAUCUUAGAAGGCAAGAUGCAAAGUUUUUGCAGGAAGUUUCUUUUAUUUAAAGUUUCAUAUUUGAUUAUUUUUAGAUAAUUUAUGAUCAAUUAUAAUUAUUUUGAUUAACUUUUUUUUUUAUUUUUAUGUUAUUAAGGAUGGUGAAGGAUUUGAUAUCGCUAUCUAUAUGAAAUUGUGAUUGGAUUCAAAGUCUACUAUUGGAGUUUAAAUUUGAUUAUUUGUUGAUAAAAUCAUCAAGAAUUCGUUGAAUAAGAAACGUACAUCAACUUAAUUAGAUCUCUAUCUUUACACUUUUUCUCAAUAAUAGCAUCUUUAGAUAUUAAAUUAAUUUGAUAUAUGGUUUAAAUAUUUGAGAUGAAUUUAUUUUAAGUUUUGGUUCCAUGGGUUACUUAUUGUUUCAAACAUCUUAUUUAUUCAUGAAAAUGAAUAUUGUUUGACUUCUUUAUGUUGUUAUAGUAGGUUUUAUAAUUAAAUAAUGUAUUUGGCUUAAAAACAUAUUAUUAUGUAAAUUUGUGUUGAUAAACCUAUGAAAUUUAUAAUUGUUCAGUUUUGAUUUAGUUUGAAUAUAAAUUAUGUUCCAUUAAUGUCUCUUAUUAUUUUGGUUAUACAAUUUGAAUUUUUUCAAUACUCAUACAUGCAUAGUUCUAAACACAAUUUUUUGAGGAAUGUCUAAAUUGAUUUUUGGGUUGGUUCUAAUAUUAAAUUUCAAGUUUAAUUGUUGUCAUUUUUAAUUCUUGAUUUAUUUUGGUUGAAAACAUUUUCAUAAACUUAAAAAUAAGAAUUACUAUAUGAAUUUGAUCGCUUGCAUUUCUACGAAUCUCGUUUGUAUUAACCAAUUUUUGUUUGAUAAGAAGCAUUAAAACAACUUGCCUGGUUUAAUUUUGAUAAAUACCUUAUAUUUUCUUACUAUACAACCCAGAGAAACUUGUUGUUUUCGUAAAGUUGUUAAAGGUGGUUCAUACACUUUAUAUUUGUUAAUUAUUUAGAGAAAUUAUAUGAGGAAUUAUAAAUGGAAAAGUUUUAGUGAACAUGAGAUGUAUGAUUUUGAAGUAAGUUUCAUACAUGUCUGCAAUGGUUUAUGAUUUUUUUUUGUACGAAUAUGAUAAAUGAAUGAUAUCUAUAUAAUCUUAUUGGUAAGGAAUAUGAUAUAUGCUUACAUUAUUGUUCAAUUUUGUUUUUGUACAUUCCUUGAAAUGAAUGUUUGCAAUAAAUAUAACAAAUUGUAUAAUCACUUUUGGUUAUUAAUGUCAAUUUGAACAUUUGAAGAGCUUGACAUAUUCCCUGAAGUGAAUAUUGCAAAUAAUUGUUUGCAAAUUAUAUUUCUUUUAUUGAGUUAAUAACAUUAUGGACUUCACAUUUAUGUAGACAUUUCCAGAAGUAAAUGUCACAAUAGUACUUAUAUGUGGAUACAAAGUAAAAGGAAUGAUGGUAAAAUUAUCAAUUUGUCACAAUUUAUAUUGAUAUUAAUAGUACAAUUGAAAUGUACGUUAAAGUAAACUAGAAGUUUACUGAUACAAAUGCAUUUACUACUUGGCGUGACAAGUUAGACCAUCAUGGAUCAUAUAUGAUGCGAAAAUUAAUUAAGAAUCCAUAGACAUUCAUUAAAGAACCAAGAGAUUCUUUAAUUUAAAGAACUCUCAUUUGUUGUUUGUUCUCAAUGAAAACUGAUUAUUAGAAACUCACUAGCUAAAGUUGAGAUUUAAUGUCUUGUAUUUCUGAAAUGAAUAUGGGUCCAUUCAUCCACCAUGUGGAUUUUGAAAUUAUAUGAUUUUGGUAGAUGCAUCUACAAAAUAAUCACAUGUGUUAUCAACUCGCAACCUGUCGUUUGCAAGAUUGCUUGUUUAAAUGAUUAAUUUUAGAUUAUGCAGUUAAAACAAUUCAUCUUGUUAAUGUUGGUGAGUUUAUAUCCCAAGCUUUCUAUAAUUAUUGUAUGUCAAUUAGGAAAAAAGUUGAACAUCCUGUAGCUCAUAUUCACACAUAAAACGAUUUAGCUAAAUUGUUUAUCAAAUGUCUCCAACUAAUAACUAAAUCAUUACUUAUGAGAACAAAGCUUCCUAUUUCAGCAUGAGAUUGUAUUGAUUUACAUGUUGUACGUAUCAAAUCAAUAAAUUAUAAAUACUUCCCAUUACAAUUGAUUUUUGGUCAAGAGCCAAAUAUUUCCCAUAUUGCAAUUUUUGGAUGUGCGGUAUAUGUUCCAACUACUCCACCACUACGUACAAAGAUGGAUCAUCAUAAGAGAUUGGGAAUGCAUAUUUAUAUGAGUCUCCUUAUAUUAUUAAAUAUUUUUGAGGUAUUAAUUCGAGAUUUAGUUAUGAAAUGAGUUGUCUGUUUUCCCAACAUUAGGGGGAGAGAAUAAAAAGCUGGAUUAAUAAAAUACUUGAAAUGAAUUAUCAAAGUCUAAGAUCCUCGUACAAAGCAAUGUGAACCAAAAGUUCAAUAGAUAAUUCAUUUUACAAAUCAAUUGUCAGAUUCAUUAAACCUCACAUACCAACUGAAAAUGCUACAAUAGGAAUUGAUGUCCAAAUAGGGCAAACUGUUGUGCAAAAGAAAGUAAUCCACGCCUAAAGCAUGGAAGACCGGUCGGUUCCAAAGAUAAAAAUCCUCGUAAAAGAAAAGAAGCAAACAUUCAAGAUAGUCAUAUAGUAGAGGCAGGGUUCUUGAAGAAACCCAUGACAUAAAUAAUUAUAGAACUCAAGAAGAGAUUCAGAUACCUAAAAGUAAAAAUGAAAAUGAUGAAAAUAAAGAAAUAUCGAUAAAUUAUGUCAAUAUGAGAAAAAGAUGGAACUGAAAAAAAUAUAGUUGUCGACAACAAUUUUGUUUAUAAUGUUGUCAUUGAAAUAAAAAAAAGGAAAUGAGGAUCAUGAGCCUAAACCUAUUGAGGACUGUAAAAAUAGAAAAUAAUAGCCAAAAUGGAAAGACGUAAUUCGAGCAAAAUUGAAUUCACUUUCAGAACGUGAGGUUUUUGGACAUGUAUCCUAAACACCUAAAGAUGUAAAGUCGAUAGAAUAUAAAUGGGUAUUUGUGUGAAAACGAAAUGAAAUUGUGAAAUCGUAAGAUAUAAAACUCGACUUGUAGCAUAAAGAUUUUCGUAAAGGCCCGAUAUUUAUUACAAAGAGACAUAUUCUUCUGUGGUAGAUGCAAUCACGUUUAGAUGACUUAUUAGUCUGGCAGUACAUGAAAAACCUUACAUGCAUCUAAUGGAUAUUGUUACAUACUAUUUGUAUGGUAGACUUGAUAGUGAAAUUUAAAUGAAAAUCUUAGAAGGAUAUAGAGUUUCUUGGGAAAAUUGCUCGAUCAGACUAAAGAAAAUUUUAUAUGGAUUAAAACAAUGUGGACGUAUGUGGUACAAUCUUCUUAAUGAAUAUUUGUUGAAAGAAUGUUAUAAAAAUGAUCUAAUUUGUCCAUGUGUUUGUAUAAAAAGGUUUGGAUCGAAUUUUGUGAUAAUUAUUAUUUAUGUUGAUGAUCUUAAUAUUAUUGAAAUUCCUAAAGAGCUUCAAAAUGCAAUAAAUUAUUUAAAGAAUUUGAGAUGAAAGAUCUUGGAAAAAUAAUGUUUUGUCUUGGCUUGCAAAUCGAGCAUUUAAAAGAUGAAAUUCAUGUCCAUCAGUCAAUUUAUACGGAAAAGAUCUUAAAGAAGUUUUACAUGGAUAAAGCGUGUAACAUCCCCACUUUAAAAAAAGAAAAAAGAGAAGAAGAAUAUCUAUAGUAGAAGUUCUUAAAUAAGUGAUCUAUAAAUAAAUAGUAGUACAAAAAAAUUGUGACGUUUUUAAAAGAAACUGUUAGACAUGAAAACACAGAGGAUUAUUAAGAGUAUGUGGUUAAUUUAAAAAUUCGGUAUCGAGUUCAGAGAUUAAAUUGAAUACAUUAGAAAAGUAUAGAGACUAAAGUGCAAUUAUCUUAUUUUAUUUUGACGAAAAUGACUUAAUGGUAAUUUUUCCAUUACUUAAAAAAAUAAAAAAUGUCAUGAUGGCUUUAAAUGAUAUUUUCAUUAAAUAAUUAUUAUUUAACAUUUUAUUUAAAAUAAUAGUAAUUUAUUAAAUAUUAUAAUAUAUAUAUAAAGAGAGAAAGAUUAGUUUCUUUCUCAUCUUUCUCACGAAAGGUUGGGAAAAAAAACAAAACUUCUUCCAUUAUUUUCCUUCAAAUUCAACUAUAAGGUAUGGUUUUUCUUCAAAUUUUUGUUAGAUUUUGAAUUUUUAAAGCUUGUUUUACAUAUAUAUACCAAUAGUUUUUUAUUUAUCAAGUAUUUUGGAAGUUGCCAUUAAAGGACAUUGAUGGAAGCUUAAAAAACUUAAGUGAAAUAGAUAUAAUUUUGGAUAGGAAAUGAUUAGAAGAUGAGUUCUAGCUUGUUAGAAGUUUGAAAAAGAAACAAAAAUGGAUGAAAAGUUUAUUUGGUAUAUUUGGCCAUAUUAAAGGGGAAGUAGAGAACAUUGGCCACUUUGUGUAAUAUUGGUGCUAAAUGAUAACUAGUGAAGAAGUGAGUACUCCAGUGAAGACGGAAUUGAAAACGGAUAAUCGAGUCGAAAGAUAUGGGAAUUUUGGACUAGGAAACUUAAGUUGCUAACUUAAUCAACCAUGCAUAUUUAAGUUUGUUUUUAUUAGUUUUAGUUUUAGAAUGGAUAAAUGAUGUUGUUUCGUAUUGAAUUGCUCCUACUGUAGCUAAAAACGAAGAGAACAUCUUGAAGGAGAAAGGCGAAGAAAAUGAGUAAAGCGAUUAAAACUUCGGUUUGUACUAAUAUCUUAUUUUCAUCACAUAAAUCUUUAGAAUAUAUAGUUUACUAUGAUUAGUUAUAUUGAUUUUAUUUUAUUUUAUUUUUAUGAGUUUUGGAUGAGUUUGAAUGAUUUAGUUAAUAUUUAUAAACUUAUGUUUCAAGAUGAAUACUAUGUUUUUCAUAUGAUCAAAUUAGCAAAUUCAUGGUUAUGAUUUGGAUUUGAGUAUUAUGAUUUUAGAUGAUUGAUUAACAAAAUGAUUAAUAUGUUCUAAAUUGGAAGUCUAUUUUUACAUUAAGCGAUAUAUGAUUUGAACAUGAAACAGAAUUGAAAUGAGAAUUAUAUGAAAAUGGAAUUGAAAUGGAUCAUGAAAUUUAGUUUUUAUCCCGUUUCACUAAGUUAGACUAAAUCAGAUAUAGUUGGUGUAACACCUCAAACCCGGCCUAGACGUUAUGGUCGAAUCUAGCGAUAUCACAUGGGAGUGUUUUUGGAAAACCCUUUUCGCUACAUGAAAACUAUUACAGUUAUUAUCUUUAAUUUAGUCUAGAGUCAUAUUUCAAAUCGCGGAAGCUUUCAAAACCAAUUUAGUUUACGAAAAAUCUUAGUUAUUUCGAUAAAACCAUUCUCUAGCAUUGUGGUUCUAAAAUUCGAAUUCACAGUUCAGAUCCCAAAUCAAAACUAAAAGUCCAAAUCCAAGAUUACAUCCAAAAUUCUCAAAAUAAUUAAGAAGAAAUGAAAUAAAAUGUUUAAACUAUAAAACUCAUAAGUGGAAAGAUGGGGUCACCAUUGAGUCCUUUGCUGCACCAAUCCAACUACUGCUGGGGAUUACCUGGACAGAUAAAAUAGAAAAGGGUGAGUUUCACAACUUAGUGUGUACAUCCCCCACAGUUUAACAUGCAUACAGACAAAUAUCAAAAAAUAGUCAUACUUCGAGCCUGAGCCCUUUACAAAAUCAGUAUGAGAUUUAGCCCAUUCAGAAACAGAAUCAGAUGCAUAUAUAAAGUUAGGCCUUAGCCCACGAAGUCAGAUAUAGCAUGCAACAGAUCAUAUAUAUAGAAAAAUAUGCCCACCAACCCUGCACACCAACUCCGUCCAACCCAGCACACCAUGUGGGGAUAAAAUCGACCCACCCAUCCCUACACACCAAAUAUGGGGAUAAUAUCGACCCAUCCAACCCUACACACCAUAAGGUACCGCAAUGCAGCACACGUCAUACAUAUGCAGCUUAGCUGCCAGACAACAGGCUUAUGAAGCCUUUCAGAUACUUCCUUCACUUCAUCAAACCCACCCCAAUACAAUGUAGCAUACAACAUGGCAUGCUAAUAAACAGAUUAAUGACAUAUACCCAUAUACAGAACAAAACACAUAUACAUGCUAACUAGCACAUGCAUUAAUCAUACAUCACAUAAUCAGAUUAGAUAAACAAAAAUUAAAGGUCUAAGUAAUGCUUACCGACCCUAUAACUGGUCACAGUCGACUUGGGCUACCUGUGCAACCUUACAGAAUAUUUCGGAAAAAUGGGCUCACAUGCCUAUGUGACAUGCCCAUAUGGCCCUACAUGCCUGUGUGGCCCACACGGCCCAAAUCAGCCUUGGUCGGGUGGACCACAUGGCCUGGCCAAAAUUCUCACAUGCCCGUGUAGCCCACACGGCCUAAUUGGUCGAGCCCGUGUCUCGCACACGGCCUAAUUGGUCGAGCCCGUGUCUCGCACACGGCCUCGUCGGUCAUCACACGGCCGUAUUGUGCUCUAGUGUCGCAUGCGCACGGCCUGAUUCAUCGACCACAUAGCCCACCACACGGGCAGUCCACACACCCGUGUGGUGUCGAUAGUUUGCUUUUUAGUUUUCGUCGAAUCUCAUUUUCUGUGUAAUCAGAGUACACACCUGGUAUCGAUUUGAAGCUAACACAACCACAAACACUCCAAAACUUAAUAUCGAACAACACGUCCCUUAGUUAGUCACUUAAACCAAGUUUUUAAGAACGGGAAAAUCCCGAAAGUUAACGAUUUCCAUACCUCUAAUGAUCAACGAUAGUUCCUUGCUGUCUAAAGUGCUAGCGCCUAGAUUGUCUCCUACAUAGAAAAGAGUCUCUUAACCACUCAACAAACAUAAAAACAAGACAAAAAGCACUCCAACACUUACCGAAUUCGCACCAAACGCAGAGAUAAGUAACGACGAUGAAAAAUGACCAAAAACUAAUAUUAAAAUAAAGAAAAAAUCGGUAGCAACAAGGGAUUUUCGGCUGGAAAGAAAAAGAAAAUAGAGAAAAUAUGGAGAGGGGAAAUUUGCAGGGAAAAUUCAACAGUGAGAGAGUGGAAUGAUUUGGGUUACUCCCAAAUCCCUUGUUUUGCUCCCACUAAACCUUAGUUGUUGCAAACACUCAGUAUCCCAAACCAACUCAAGCACUCCCAUGGUAUUAGUAACAAAAAUAAUGCCUUCAUUCAAACUUGAACCCAAAACAUUCCUCACAUCCACACUCCUCUUAUCCACCAGACCAACAGACCCAUUCUUGUAAGCUUUUCCAACCAAUUACUUAUAAGCCCUAUAACCCAAGACAAGUCUUCAUACAUAUAAAAACCAAAAUUUUUCCCAAGCUAAGGUUUGAACUCAAGACCUCACACACACACCCAGAACACUUAACCACUGAAGUAUAUACACAAUUGUGUCAAUUAAUCACAAAAGCCGAAAUAUAAAAUUUGGGGCUUUACAAUUGGCAUGCCAUAGAGUCUUUAUAUCAGAUAAUUUCGAUCUCUCCAAUUCCUAAAGGAUUGAGGGAGAAAAGGCCAAGUCGGUCAGUUGUUAUUAUUGUUAGCCCUAAUUCCUAGAGGUUCAUGGGCAGUCCCAUUUCCCAGAGGGUCGUGGACUGUUUUGAUAGCCAUUGUUGCCGAACAACUCGGGGUGGUGGAUUCAUAUAUUUGGUUAUGAGUCUAAACUUUAGUACAAGAUCUAAAUUGAAACAAAAACAAAAACAAAACUUGAAUUUAUUUGAAUUUCCAUAUUGUGCAAAUUAAAUUAAUUAACGUGAUUUGAAUUUAAUUAAAAAACUUAUUUUCUUUAUUCGAUUUGUCAAUAUCAAAAUAUUAACUGUUGAUUUUAGAAUUUUCUUUUAUUGAGAUGUUUUUAAUGAUAUUUAUAAUCAUGUUUUAGUUUAUUUCUAUCAAUUAAUUUAUAUUCAAUACUUAUGUAAUGAUUUAUAUGAUAUUAGCACCAUUGAGCAUAAAAAUUGUUCAGCGUACAAUUUGUCUAUUUUUCUUUGCGAGGGUAGUUAGAUUCGCUAGAUUGUUCCAACAAUCCGGAGAAUCGAAGUUUAGCUCAAACAAUGUUGGUGAAGAGUUUACUUUAUAGUUGAUGUAAAUGGCAUGUACCUAGGCUUCUAUAUAUAUAAUAUUAUGUCGUAAAUUGAAUUUAAAUAUCUUCAUUAUGUUUUCUUUGCUAAUAUUCUAUAACUAAUGUUUUGGAUGAAAUAGUAAAGCGUAGAAAUCUAGUUUAUUGGUAUGUUUUGAGAAAUCGUAGUGCUGAGAAUUGAUUUGGGAGAUAAUUUGAAUGUGGAUAUUUUGUGAAAUCUAAAUUUUGUAGGAGGUUUUAUGUAAAAUAGGUAGAAAUGCUACUAAAAUUUUUAUAAAAUAAUUUUACCACUAUGUUUCCUUCAAAAAAAAAAGAAGAUAGAAAAGUGAGUUGCUUCGGUAAUGAAAUGUGGCAUUUUAUAUUCGAAUCCAACAACUGGGUCUGGUAUAAGGUUUCCCAAAACGUAUCCAUUGAGUACCCUGAUGGUUGUAUGGUCGUUAGAUUGAAUUUUGUCCUUGUGAGAAUGAUGAAUAUUUCUUGGUCCUGAAGCAUGAUAUCUAAAUAACAUUGAUGUAUCUUGCAAACAACACAAGACCUGAUAUAACUUUUGUUGUAAACUUGUUAGCAAGAUUUAGUUAUUCUCCAAACAUAGACAGUGGAAUGGAAUUAAACAUGUAUUCAGAUAUCUCAGAAGGACCAUUAAUAUGAGAUUAUUUUAUUCAAAUGAUUCAAAAUCUCUAUUAGUUGGCUAUGCUAAUGUUGGUUAUUUAUCGAAUCCACAUAAAUGUUGAUCUCAAAUGGGAUAUUUAUUUGCAUGUGGGGGUACUGUCAUAUCAUGGCGUUCAACAAAGCAAACAUUAACUGCUGCUUCUUCGAAUCAUGCAGAAAUAAUUGCAAUGCAUGAGGCACGUCUAGAGUAUGUUUGGCUAAGGUUAUUGACCUAACAUAUCCAGAAGAUAUGUAAUUUGCCUUUACAGAAAAAGAUGCCAACUAUCUUAUAUGAAGAUAAUGCAACAUGUAUAGCUCAAUUGAAGGGUGGUUACAUCAAAAGUAACAGAACAAAACAUAUUUCACCAAAAUUAUUCUUCACCCAUGUUCUUGAGAAAAGAGGUGAUAUAAAUGUUCAACAAAUUCGUUCUAAUGAUAAUUUAGCAGAUUUUUUUUUAUUAAAGUAUUGCCAACUUUAAUAUUUGAAAGACUACUACACAUGAUUGGAAUGCGUCGACUUAAAGAUAUAAUGUCAUGUUGCCAUAGGGGGAGUCUAAGAACAAGUUGUACUAUUUUCCUUUAACUAAGGUUUUGUCCCAUUGGGUUUUCUUUGUAAAGGUUUUUAACGAGGCAGCUUGUAAUAAAAGAUUUUGUACUAUUUUUCCUUCAUUAUGUUUUUAUCCCACAGAGUUUUUCCUAAACAUUAUCUAUCAAUGGACAUCUAAGGGAGAGUGUUAUGAAUAUUUUAUUAAAUGGAUGUUCAUCAAGAUCAAGAUAAGUUUUGAUGUAGUUUAAAUUCUAAUAGUCAUUAGAAUUAGAUCUAUACUUCAUUUAUACUUCUUAUGCCUAUAAAUAGAUACUUUGAAGAAGUAUUAUAAUCAUCCCAUUUGAUCAAUAAAAUACAUUCUCUAUUGCUUCCCCUAUUUUAUUUGUUCUUCAUUAUUUUUAUCUCUCUUUAUUUUAUAACAAAAACUAAUUAUUUUGUAAUUAAAAGGUCAUAAAAAAUGAAAAUUAAAAAUAAAUAACUAAUAAAGGGUAAUUUUAUAUUUUUAUUUAAAAUACAUUGUGUAUAACCUUUGGAAUGCAUUUUUCAUUAAACUUGAGUAUUUUUUCAAAUGUAUAAAGAUAGUCCGUAACGUUUACAUUUUUUUAUUAAAUCAAUCAUCAAAAUUUCAAAAAAAGUUGAAUUGGUGCUUUUUAACAAAAAUAUCGACUAAAACGUUAAAAUUUUAAACAUGCCAGCUCAUAUGGCAAUCUAUGCAUACUUCAUGUAUUUUUUUUGAAUUAUUUGUUCUUUUUAAAUUAUUUCUUAACGUGACAUGUACGAUAAAUAGUAUCAUGUCAACAUGAAGUAUACACGAACUACCAUGCAAGUUGCCACACUAACAUCGUUAAAAAAAUUUAUGUUUUAGACAAUAUUUCCAUUAAAAAAAAAUCAAAAUGACACUUUUUGAAAGCUUAAUGGUCAAAUUUAACUCAAUAAAAAAUAAGAGCCAAAUUGGCAAAAAAAUAUCAAUAUUAAGGGCUAAAUCUAUCAUUAUGCCUUUUUCAAACCAAAGUGAUAGUUUAUAUAAUAUGUUUAAGUAGUUCAUAAAUAAUUAAAAAUUAGUAAAACGGAAAAGAAUAGAUUUUUAAAUAAAAAUAAACAUAGUCAUUAGUUGUAGAAAUGCAGAGUUGUAAAGAGAUUAUAAGAAACCAAGGUUUCACUAUGUUAGUUAAAAAUUGUUUGAUUAAAAAAGGGGAGGGGAGAUAUUAAUGUACUGAAAUGCAAUGAAUUUAUGCCAUUGUGGCUCAAGGCAUGAGUUCUUUCCCGGAAGACAUUAGUGUCACAGAUGUUUAUAGGGGGAUAGGUUCCAGUUAGAGCUGCAGAAAUUCAGAUACAUGGAAAUGUAUGUACCUAAUGAGUAAUAUCCAACAGUUGGGGAAGAAAGAGCUUAUUCCAGGCAGGGAGGAAAAUGGGGGCAUCUUUUUGCUUUAUGUCAAAAGGGCAAUAACCACAAGUACCCCCCUUUGAUUUCGGGGGAAAGUGGACCCUUUUGGUUCAAAUCAGUGUUUGUUCAACUAUGAAGCUCCUGCUGAUGUUGUGUUAUAGGAUUUCUUACUUGCAAACAGAAUCAAAUACAUAAUUGAUUAUGAAGCAACUUUUAAAGCAGGAAUAGAAUUUUUUCAAAGUCAUUGCUAAAUGAUGACAUGAUAUACAGAAAUUGGAAAUAUUCUAUCCAUUUCCCAAAUACACCAUGGGUUAUAAAUAGGAUACUAUAUACAUAAUUGUCACCAUCCAUCUACUGAUAUUAGACCCAAGGAGAUUGCUAAGCACUGUCAAGCUUUCAUCUUCUCCCUUGUAACCCAUCAUCUACUGCAUUACAAUCCCAGGCUUUCAAUGUGCCCAGAACGGUUUAGCUGGAGUGCGCUUCAGUGCCUUCACUGCCAAAGGAUUGCCCUUGCUCUGCCAAAAAAACAACUGUUUAAAACUUCAAUUGAAACAAAUAGAAUGAAAGGAUUGAUGACUUUGGACUUAAGCGUACCAUCAAGCAGGUGCCUUCAUGUAUGUUGCAGACAGGGUAGUCAUGAGGGCAGCAGCUGUAGCGAUCUUCGCAGCAAGUGGCAGCCUCGAGUGGGCAGCAUCCCCAAGCAAAGCAGUAGUUAUAGUACUCGUAUAUGCAGCAGCAGGUAUUGCUCUCGGGACAGGAAUAAUAACUAUCGCACACGGUCGGAGGCUUUAUAGGAGAUGGUGGAGACGGUCCGGGAUUGGGGGGAUUUUCACCUGUUUUGAUCGGAUAAGAGGCUUCCAUCGCGAUCCCACAUUUGCCAGUUACGGUAUUGGCCACAUUCCUUGCCAUCCUGAUAUAGCCUGCUUCUCCCCAGCUGCUUCCCCAUGAGUUCUUUACAAUCCAAUAGUCUUUACCUUUCUCUGUGCCAUAUCCAACAGCAGUGACACCGUGGUCUAGUUGUGUUCCACAUUUUCCAUCAAAUAU